GAGGCGAACCGGGGGAACUGAAACAUCUAAGUACCCCGAGGAAAAGAAAUCAACCGAGAUUCCGAAAGUAGCGGCGAGCGAAAUUGGACUAGCCCUUAAGCUUUACACGCGUUAGACGAACGGUCUGGAAAGUCCGACGAUACAGGGUGAUAGUCCCGUAGUUGACGACGUGUGUUCAGUGAAAUCGAGUAGGGCGGGACACGUGAUAUCCUGUCUGAAUAUGGGGGGACCAUCCUCCAAGGCUAAAUACUACUGACUGACCGAUAGUGAACCAGUACCGUGAGGGAAAGGCGAAAAGAACCCCUGUGAGGGGAGUGAAAUAGAACCUGAAACCGUGUACGUACAAGCAGUAGGAGCAGGCUUGUCCUGUGACUGCGUACCUUUUGUAUAAUGGGUCAGCGACUUAUAUUCAGUGGCAAGGUUAACCAUCUAGGGGAGCCGUAGGGAAACCGAGUCUUAACUGGGCGUUCAGUCUCUGGAUAUAGACCCGAAACCAGGUGAUCUAGCCAUGGGCAGGUUGAAGGUUGAGUAACAUCAACUGGAGGACCGAACCGACUAAUGUUGAAAAAUUAGCGGAUGACUUGUGGCUAGGGGUGAAAGGCCAAUCAAACCUGGAGAUAGCUGGUUC
rnacentral:rRNA from 1 species